AGAGUUUGAUCAUGGCUCAGAAUCAACGCUGGCGGCGUGCCUCAGACAUGCAAGUCGAACGAUUAAGACUUCCUUCGGGAAGUGCAUAAAGUGGCGCACGGGUGAGUAACACGUAAGUAAUCUACCUUCGAGUGGGGAAUAACGUCCGGAAACGGACGCUAAUACCGCAUAAUGCAGCGGCAUCGUAAGAUGACAGUUGUUAAAGGAGCAAUUCGCUUGAAGAGGAGCUUGCGGCAGAUUAGCUAGUUGGUAAGGUAAUGGCUUACCAAGGCUACGAUCUGUAACCGGUCUAAGAGGACGGUCGGUCACACUGACACUGAAUAACGGGUCAGACUCCUACGGGAGGCAGCAGUCGGGAAUUUUGGGCAAUGGGCGAAAGCCUGACCCAGCAACGCCGCGUGAAGGAUGAAGUAUUUCGGUAUGUAAACUUCGAAAGAAUAGGAAGAAUUAAUGACGGUACUAUUUAUAAGGUCCGGCUAACUACGUGCCAGCAGCCGCGGUAAUACGUAGGGACCAAGCGUUGUUCGGAUUUACUGGGCGUAAAGGGCGCGUAGGCGGCAUGACAAGUCACUUGUGAAAUCUCCGGGCUUAACUCGGAACGGUCAAGUGAUACUGUCGCGCUAGAGUGCGGAAGGGGCAAUCAGAAUUCUUGGUGUAGCGGUGAAAUGCAGAUAUCAAGAGGAAUACCUGAGGUGAAGACGGGUUGCUAGGCCGACACUGACGCUGAAGCGCGAAAGCCAGGGGAGCAAACGGGAUUAGAUACCCUAGUAGUCC
rnacentral:rRNA from 1 species